UAGGUGAAACCCGAAAAACCUGAUAAGAGUAGGGA
rfam:Niabella sp. BS26, complete genome.